rnacentral:lncRNA from 1 species
CUUGUAAGUUGGAAGGAAGUUCAUAAAGAAGUGACACGUGACAAGUGGUUUCCUCAAAAGACAGUGCUCCAUGCUAAACUGAAAGGCAGUCACUACAUGCAUGUCGUACAAAAAACAUAAAUUGCUUGUUAAAAACAUGAGUUGAAGUCCUUCCUUUGUUCUGCCACAGACUCCUUGUACCUGUCUCUGUACCACUGUCCCUUCUGCAAUUAGAAAUGUUUGUAGGCAGUCACUAAUUCCUAGGAGUUGAAAAUGGCCUGCUGGAAUGAUCUGGUGCCUACUUGCCUUCUAGGCCCUGCCAGGCCUUUUCUCAGGAAAGCUGUGCCUGGAAACUUCCUAACAAACAGCGAACAUCCUCAGAGCUGUUAGUAGGAGGGAUGCUCUGUGGUAGUGACCGUAUCACUGUUAAGUUUAACACUGUGGUAAGGGGAAAGUAGGUUGUAUAGGUUCAGUGUGUGCAUACUCGAAUUUGAGGAAGGGAAUUGGAAGAACUGUGGGACAUUUUCACCACAGAUUCAGCAUGGAGAAUCAGACAGAAAUGAAUCUGUGCUGAACUCAGUAAGUUGGGAGGGCACGGGCUGAUAGGGCCUGGUGCAGGUGGAGCCCUGAGGUGGGCCUGGGCUCCGCGGCCCUGUCGGUGCUCGGGGCCUCGCCAGUUGAGUGAAAGCCAUUCUUGUGUUGUGCUGUGCUGCAAGGAGGAAGGGAGAGCAGAAUUUGGCUCAGGUGCAUCUGCAUCUGGGGAUAGAGGAGGCAGCCCAGAGGACUGGAAAAGAAUUUGGGCCUGAAUCUUGCACCACAGAUACUGCAGAGAAUUAGCUCUGACGGUCUCUGGAGGAACUUGAGAAGUGUGGAGGUUGGAAAUGAAUCAGUUAUGCAUCAGCCACAUUUUAUACUCUUGUCCUGAGACUAAAGCAGUUAUGGUCUGGGCUCCUGGUUCCAGAACUACAGUGAUGUGUUCCAAGUCUACAAUGGAGACAUCUUGGGAAUACUUACAAAGAACUCAGUCCAAACCUCACCCCACCGCACACAUCCACAGUGGCAUGAGGGAAAAGGUAUUGUUGUACUUGCUUACCAUUAUAAAAGGAAGGGAGAAUAAAUAUUCUGAUGCCAUUUUACAAGCCAG